CGCGUUUUUUGCCCAGCGGAGCUCGACCGCCGACUCAAGUCCUGAGGGACUUCAUCGACACACAUCGCGAUACGUUCGGGGUCGAGCCGAUCUGCAAAGUUCUGCAGAUCGCCCCG
rfam:Xanthomonadales bacterium 63-13 scnpilot_p_inoc_scaffold_1043, whole genome shotgun sequence.